rnacentral:lncRNA from 1 species
GUCUGGCAAAGUCUCUUGAUCCGAACAGGCUAAGGAAGAGAAAUCAGUAAAGGAUUACUGAACAAGAUAUUUAUAUGAUAACACCUUAUGAUUUCUCUAUCUGUGACACUACUAUCUGGAUAUUGGAUAUCGAAAGUCCAUGCAAAUUAUUGUAAUGACUUCAGGUUAGUAGAAAGUUUGAAAACAGCAAGAGGUUCCUGAACAUUGAAGUUGGAAGUUAUGUUCUA